rnacentral:lncRNA from 1 species
CUAACUACAUCGAGAGGUCCAGACAGUUACUAUGUUCUCACUUCCGCGGAUACUUCAGUUCGAGUGGAUGUCGACAUGAAACUGCAUUGCCAUGUCCGCCAACAUAUUCUUUCAUAAAGUAUCAAUCAAAACUGAAAAUUAGUGUAUUGCAAUUGCCACUUCCGAUGUUCAGGUUCAAUUCAUCAUACAAUUAUGGAAUAUUAACACUGAAAUAAAAUAUGACUGUGCAACACUUCCUUUCCUCUCGGAUGUAAAUAUGAAGACCGAAAUCCGGAAUUUCCGAGUUAACUUGCACGUGCAUUCUCACAGAACCCGAACGACCACUUCUCCUCUCCUCGCCAUAAACCUUCACACAACACAUCAGAAAAUAAGAAUUAGAACAUCUGAAUAAAAAGUGCCAAGCAAAUAGGCAGAAGUACAGAAAAAUUUACCAUGGCGGAGCUCGUCAUCUGGUGGCCACGUCAUCUCCGACAUGCUAGAGUUGGCGACGACGCCAUGGACGACACCAUCUGCUAUUUUCCUCGUGCGGGAAGGGCACGGAGACGUUGACAACAGUGACCGCCCCGCCGGACCAUGAAGGGCAUGGUCUUCAGGGAGAAGAACCGGGACGUUCAGAGGAGGCGAGGCCGGGGUCUCCCGUUGGUGCACGAGUCACGGGAAUGGAAUGAUGACCGGCCGGAGAUGAGCGUAGGCCGGAAAGAACGCAAAAUCGGGGAGGAAGAAGGCCAAAUCAG